ensembl:lncRNA
AUUAUCUGUGUUUUAUUUGUCUUGUCGGCUGUUGGUUAGAACAAAGCUUGGUUGGUGGGGAGGGGGGGGGUGAGAUUCACACAAUCAGAAGAGCUGAUGUUUAAAAUUGUGUUCAGAAGUCUUCUAUUAAAGAGGUGUGAGAGACAUGGUCAGGACAGGGUGUUCUGUUGACUAAGUGGAUAAAUAUUUAGAAAUAUUUAGAAAUAUUUUUUUGGCCCUCAUUUUAAUUUGUACAUGUCUCUUGCGUCAACUGGUGGUUGGUUGAGCAGAGGUCAUUUGACCUUUUGACCCCAUUAGCAUGAUCAAAACAACCCGAUAAGGGAAGGAGCGCGUCUUCGACUAAGGCAGCACCGUACCUCGGGUGAAAGCCCAGCCUUAGGAACAGACGUCUCUGUCUGUGGACAGAAGGACAUUUUGUGAAUAAAAAGUGUGAACUGAUUUCUUCACCUCCAGAUCCACCAACAUCAGAUUGUAUUUGUCCCACGCGCCCCAAUACAACGGUUGUAGACCUUACAGUUUACACUGACAAGCCUCACGUUAUGUAUUCCUUGGUGUAGAGUCUCUACCCUCACUAAUGUACAGAGGUUGAGUAAACACAGAAGUUAAAACAGCCAAUAGUAAAACAUCUCAUUACAUACAUUUUUUUUUUUUUUUUUUUUUUGGGGUGGGGUGAGUGUACCUGGAGCCGAUGAUACUGCUCCAUUCCUUAUCCUGUCAGGUGAGUCCCAAAUGGCUCCCUCUUCCCUAUAUAGUGCACUGCUUUGGAGGGGAAGAAAGGUUAACCAUUUUUCAGGAUGCUCUCUUAUCUGUUUCAACAAAAUGACCAUCAGUCUGAUGUCCCCCACUGAGAGACUGUCCUUCCAUCAGUCUGAUGUCCCCCCACUGAGAGACUGUCCUUCCAUCAGUCUGAUGUCCCCCACUGAGAGACUGUCCUUCCAUCAGUCUGAUGUCCCCCCACUGAGAGACUGUCCUUCCAUCAGUCUGAUGUCCCCCACUGAGAAGGCAGUCUGAUGUCCCCCCACUGAGAGGCAGUCUGAUGUCCCCCCACUGAGAGACUGUCCUUCCAUCAGUCUGAUGUCCCCCCACUGAGAGACUGUCCUUCCAUCAGUCUGAUGUCCCCCCACUGAGAGGCAGUCUGAUGUCCCCCCACUGAGAGACUGUCCUUCCAUCAGUCUGAUGUCCCCCACUGAGAGACUGUCCUUCCAUCAGUCUGAUGUCCCCCCACUGAGAGGCAGUCCUUCCAUCACUCUGAUGUCCCCCCACUGAGAGGCAGUCCUUCCAUCACUCUGAUGUCCCCCACUGAGAGACAGUCCUUCCAUCAGUCUGAUGUCCCCCACUGAGAGACCAUCUGAUGUCCCCCCACUGAGAGACAGUCCUUCCAUCAGUCUGAUGUCCCCCCACUGAGAGGCAGUCUGAUGUCCCCCCACUGAGAGGCAGUCUGAUGUCCCCCCC